AAUAUUUAAGUGUGGUUAGUUGAAAGGUGAAUUUGUGUUUUGAAUUUAGUUAAGUGUGGUCACUUGAGAAGUGAAGUGGUGACUUGAAAAUGUUUAAGUGUGGUUAGUUGAAAGGUGAAUUUGUGUUUUGAAUUUAGUUAAGUGUGGUCACUUGAGAAGUGAAGUGGUGACUUGAAAAUGUUUAAGUGUGGUUAGUUGAAAGGUAAACUUUUAUUUUGAAUUUAGUUAAAUGUGGUCCCUUGAGAAGUGAAUUAGUGACUUGAAAAUAUUUGAAUGUAGUUACUUGAAAGGUGAUCUUUUGUUUUG
rnacentral:lncRNA from 1 species